CUCUCAGCUAUAAAUGAAGGCAAAUAUCCAGAGAAAGGAGUAGCCCCAACAAUCCCAAAAGGAUCCACAGAUCAUCAAAUCUCAUCCUACAAAGCUUCGGGAUAGAUCACCGUGAUAUCAGAACAAGAUCGUCGUGGACCAAAUUAAAUGCCAUCAGAGCCGCUGAUAAAGUGAAUUCAUUGGUUGCGAAUUCAACACCUAAAUCAAAGUAUCUAACAUGAGUAAUACAUUUGAUUUAGAAGCUGAAUAUCAGGAAAUAUUCAAAGACUAUGCAGUUGAUAUUAGUCAAGAUCGAGUCAUUGUAUUCAAUAAACUCUUUCAUAUCAAAACCAUAUGUGGCAAUUUUAGAGAAUGGAGACUCUUAACAUAUAAUCAGUUAAGAAUCUAUAAUCAAACCCCCUCCCCCUGCCACCCCCUCCCCUCCCCCUCCCCCUCCCCCUCCCAACCCCUCCCCUCCGCUCCCGCUCCUGCUCCUGCUCCUGCUCCCGCUCACAUAACUACAGGAGAUAUAAAGGGAAUGCAAGUAAUAAAUUAAAGGAGGACAUUGAAGAAGUUGCAUGGGAUUUGAGAGACAGUAGAAAGAGUAGUUUCAGUACGUAGAAGUUGCAUGCAAUUUGGAUUUGUAAAAGUAAACAUAUAUUAUAUAUGUUGUUUGUUGGUAGGGUUUGUAAUUAAUUAGUUUAUUAUUUGUGUUUCUAUCUUAAAGUCGUUGUAAUUUCCUUGACUAUUGGUUAAUGUAAUAUUUGUACGUGGACUAUUUUAUUUUGCAAA